CACGGAGUUAGCCGGGGCUUCUUCUGCUGGUACCGUCAUUAUCUUUCCAGCUGAAAGAGCUUUACAACCCUAAGGCCUUCAUCACUCACGCGGCAUGGCUAGAUCAGGGUUGCCCCCAUUGUCUAAGAUUCCCCACUGCUGCCUCCCGUAGGAGUCUGGGCCGUGUCUCAGUCCCAGUGUGGCUGAUCAUCCUCUCAAACCAGCUAUGGAUCGUCGGCUUGGUAGGCCAUUACCCCACCAACUACCUAAUCCAACGCGGGCUAAUCCUUCGCCGAUAAAUCUUUCCCCCCGAAAGGGCGUAUGCGGUAUUACUCUCAGUUUCCCGAGGCUAUUCCGCAGCAAAGGGCAUAUUCCCACGCGUUACUCACCCGUCCGCCGCUCACCCCCGAAAGGCGCGCUCGACUGCAUGUGUUAGGCCUGCCGCCAGCGUUCGUUCUGAGCCAGGAUCAAACUCU
rnacentral:rRNA from 1 species